rnacentral:rRNA from 1 species
GACGAACGCUGGCGGCGUGCUUAACACAUGCAAGUCGAACGGAAAGGCCCUGCUUUUGUGGGGUGCUCGAGUGGCGAACGGGUGAGUAACACGUGAGUAACCUGCCCUUGACUUUGGGAUAACUUCAGGAAACUGGGGCUAAUACCGGAUAGGAGCUCCUGCUGCAUGGUGGGGGUUGGAAAGUUUCGGCGGUUGGGGAUGGACUGGCGGCUUAUCAGCUUGUUGGUGGGGUAGUGGCUCACCAAGGCGAUGACGGGUAGCCGGCCGGAGAGGGUGACCGGACACACUGGAACUGAGACACGGCCCAGACGCAUACGGGAGGCAGGAGUGGGGAAGAGGGGACAAUGGGCGAAAGCCUGAUCCAGCCAUACCGCGUGGGUGAAGAAGGCCUUCGGGUUGUAAAGCCCUUUUGUUGGGAAAGAAAAGCAGCAGGUUAAUACCCCGCUGUUCUGACGGGACCCAAAGAAUAAGCACCGGCUAACUGCGUG